ensembl:lncRNA
GUGGGAGGAAAAAGUGUGCUUCUGGAGGCUGGUGGGGGUACAGGGUGGGGAUAAUGUUGACUCCACCCCAGGACUGGGUGCAGCAAAGGCGAAGCAGUACACACCUCUCUGGCUGGUGCUUUGCUGGAUGGGUGAUAUAUCUGAAGGUCAGUGAGGAUGGGAGUUGGGAGUGGAGUUAUCAGGUGAAGUCACUCGAGCUCAGAAAGGAGGAGUGAAUUACCUGUGGCUGCAGUACUUUGGACAGCCAGAAAUCUGUCUCCCAACAGUCAGGUCAGUUGCUUUUCUCCACACCACCCUGCCUUCAUGAGAAGAAGAACUUCUGACUGAAACAGAUUCUCAAUUUCCCUGUGUUCUUGGUGGGAAAAAGAGGCCUUACUUACUCAAGGAGGAGCAGGCUGCCAGAGUGUGUGAGACCUGACUAGUGCCUUGCUGGCCUCAGCUCCGCCAUUGCAUGUUCAUCUGAACUAGGACCCAAGGGUACUUGGAGAAGGGUUUGGGUGCGGAUUUCUACAAACUGCCAAGGGCUACAGCAAUGAGAACUCUCUCAGCGGUAGACCUGCUUCAGCAUGAAGGACUGCACUUAAAGGGAUGCAUACUAUUCCAGCUCAAGCAACAGAUACUGAAGUGCAGAUCACUGUCCUUUGUUGAAAAGGAUCAGCAGUUUGUCAACAUAGGUAACACGCCAGAGCAAGCCUUGGGAUGCAACUCUGAAAACAGGUUAGGCCCUCUUUUCCCCAAGCCCUGCAAUAAAAUAC